rnacentral:rRNA from 1 species
GACGAACGCUGGCGGCGUGCUUAACACGUGCAAGUCGAACGGAAAGGCCCUGCUUUUGUGGGGUGCUCGAGUGGCGAACGGGUGAGUAACACGUGAGUAACCUGCCCUUGACUUUGGGAUAACUUCAGGAAACUGGGGCUAAUACCGGAUAGGAGCUCCUGCUGCAUGGUGGGGGUUGGAAAGUUUCGGCGGUUGGAGAUGGACUCGCGGCUUAUCAGCUUGUUGGUGGGGUAGUGGCUUACCAAGGCUUUGACGGGUAGCCGGCCUGAGAGGGUGACCGGCCACAUUGGGACUGAGAUACGGCCCAGACUCCUACGGGAGGCAGCAGUGGGGAAUAUUGCACAAUGGGCGGAAGCCUGAUGCAGCAACGCCGCGUGCGGGAUGACGGCCUUCGGGUUGUAAACCGCUUUCGCCUGUGACGAAGCGUGAGUGACGGUAAUGGGUAGAGAAGCACCGGCUAACUACGUG